AUGGCUCAGGAUGAACGCUGGCGGCGUGCUUAACACAUGCAAGUCGAACGGAGUUUUUAAACGGAAGUUUUCGGAUGGAAGUUUAGAACUUAGUGGCGGACGGGUGAGUAACGCGUGGGUAACCUGCCUCAUACAGGGGGAUAACAGUUAGAAAUGACUGCUAACACCGCAUAAUAUAGCGAAACCGCAUGAUUUUGCUAUCAAAUAUUUAUAGGUAUGAGAUGGGCCCGCGUCUGAUUAGCUAGUUGGUGGGGUAAAAGCCUACCAAGGCGACGAUCAGUAGCCGGCUUGAGAGAGUGACCGGCCACAUUGGGACUGAGACACGGCCCAAACUCCUACGGGAGGCAGCAGUGGGGAAUAUUGGACAAUGGGGGAAACCCUGAUCCAGCGAACCGCCGCGUGAGUGAAGAAGUAUUUCGGUAUGUAAAGCUCUAUCAGCAGGGAAGAUAAUGACAGUACCUGACUAAGAAGCCCCGGCUAACUACGUGCCAGCAGCCGC
rnacentral:rRNA from 1 species